AUUGAACGCUGGCGGCAGGCCUAACACAUGCAAGUCGACCGAGUGGCGGACGGGUGAGUAAUGUCGGGGAAAAUGCCUGAUGGAGGGGGAUAACUACUGGAAACGGUAGCUAAUACCGACUACCAUCGGAUGUGCACAUAUGGGAUUAGCUAGUAUGUGGGGUAAAGGCUCACCUAGGAGACGAUCCCUAGCUGGUAUGAGAGGAUGACCAGCCACACUGGAACUGUGACACGGACCAGAGUCCGACGGGAGGCAGCAGUGGAGAAGAGUGGACAAGGGGCGCAAUCCUGCUGCAUCCAGGCGGCGUGUAUGAAGAAGGCCUUCGGGUUGUAAUGUACUUUCCGCGGGGAAGCGUUACCCGCAGAAGAAGGAACGGCUAACUCCGUGCCAGCAGCCGCGGUAAUUC
rnacentral:rRNA from 1 species